rnacentral:rRNA from 1 species
UGCGUAGGUGGCAGUGCAAGUCAGAUGUGAAAGGCCGGGGCUCAACCCCGGAGCUGCAUUUGAAACUGCUCGGCUAGAGUACAGGAGAGGCAGGCGGAAUUCCUAGUGUAGCGGUGAAAUGCGUAGAUAUUAGGAGGAACACCAUGGCGAAGGCGGCCUGCUGGACUGUUACUGACACUGAGGCACGAAAGCUGGGGAGCAAACA